AUUGAACGCUGGCGGCAGGCUUAACACAUGCAAGUCGAGCGGGGGAGGUUGCUUCGGUAACUGACCUAGCGGCGGACGGGUGAGUAAUGCUUAGGAAUCUGCCUAUUAGUGGGGGACAACAUCUCGAAAGGGAUGCUAAUACCGCAUACGUCCUACGGGAGAAAGCAGGGGAUCUUCGGACCUUGCGCUAAUAGAUGAGCCUAAGUCGGAUUAGCUAGUUGGUGGGGUAAAGGCCUACCAAGGCGACGAUCUGUAGCGGGUCUGAGAGGAUGAUCCGCCACACUGGGACUGAGACACGGCCCAGACUCCUACGGGAGGCAGCAGUGGGGAAUAUUGGACAAUGGGGGGAACCCUGAUCCAGCCAUGCCGCGUGUGUGAAGAAGGCCUUUUGGUUGUAAAGCACUUUAAGCGAGGAGGAGGCGCUCUAGGUUAAUACCCUAGAUGCGUGGACGUUACUCGCAGAAUAAGCACCGGCUAACUCUGUGCCAGCAGCCGCAGUAACAC
rnacentral:rRNA from 1 species